AUUGAACGCUGGCGGCAGGCCUAACACAUGCAAGUCGAGCGGAUGAAGGGAGCUUGCUUCUGGAUUCAGCGGCGGACGGGUGAGUAAUGCCUAGGAAUCUGCCUGGUAGUGGGGGAUGACGUCCGGAAACGGGCGCUAAUACCGCAUACGUCAUGAGGGAUAAAGAGGGGGAUUUUCGGACAUCAAGCUAUCUGAUGAGCCUAGGUCGGAUUGGCUGGUUGGUUGGGUAAAUGGCUACGAAGGCGACGCACCGUAACUGGUCUGAGAGGAUGAUCCGCCCAACUGGAAUUGGACCACGGCCCAACCCCCUCCGGGAGGCAGAAGUGGGGAACAUUGGCCAAUGAGGGAAAGCCUGACCCAGACCUGCCGCGGGUGUGAGGAAGGUCUUCGGAUGGUAAAGCACUUUAAGUUGGGAGAAAGGGCAGUAAGUUAAAACCUUGCUGUAUUGACGGUACCAACAGAGAAAGCACCGGCUAACUACGUG
rnacentral:rRNA from 1 species